CAAGAGGGUAUUUGCGUGUUGUUGCAGUUAAAAAGCUCGUAGUUGAUUUUAAAUUGGCGGAGGCGUGGGAGGCUGGCGCAAGCCAGUCGACCCGCGCUGUAGCCAAUUUACGCCUCUCUCUUGAGGCCCUGUACUGUGAAUAAAUUAUAGUGCUCAAAACAACUUACUUGAAUACACUAGCAUGGAAUACUACCAUACGACCAUUGAAUGCUGGCGCAUCCAAUGGUAAUAAAUCAUAGAAUUGAUCGGGGCUAUUCGUACAGGCUGGUCAGAGGUGAAGUUCUUUUACCCAGCCUUGACGACCUAAAGCGAAAGCAAAUGGCAAACUCAACUUCUUUAA
rnacentral:rRNA from 1 species